UGGAUGCCCUGGCAGUCAGAGGCGAUGAAGGACGUGCUAAUCUGCGAUAAGCGCCGGUAAGGUGAUAUGAACCGUUAUAACCGGCGAUUUCCGAAUGGGGAAACCCAGUGUGAUUCGUCACACUAUCAUUAACUGAAUCCAUAGGUUAAUGAGGCGAACCGGGGGAACUGAAACAUCUAAGUACCCCGAGGAAAAGAAAUCAACCGAGAUUCCCCCAGUAGCGGCGAGCGAACGGGGAGGAGCCCAGAGCCUGAAUCAGCAUGUGUGUUAGUGGAAGCGUCUGGAAAGGCGCGCGAUACAGGGUGACAGCCCCGUACACAAAAGCGCAUGUGCUGUGAGCUCGAUGAGUAGGGCGGGACACGUGGUAUCCUGUCUGAAUAUGGGGGGACCAUCCUCCAAGGCUAAAUACUCCUGACUGACCGAUAGUGAACCAGUACCGUGAGGGAAAGGCGAAAAGAACCCCGGCGAGGGGAGUGAAAAAGAACCUGAAACCGUGU
rnacentral:rRNA from 1 species